rnacentral:rRNA from 1 species
AAUAGAUACCCCGGUAGUCCACGCCGUAAACGAUGGAUACUAGCUGUUGGAGGUAUCGACCCCUUCAGUAGCGAAGCUAACGCGUUAAGUAUCCCGCCUGUGGAGUACGGUCGCAAGACUAAAACAUAAAGGAAUUGACGGGGACCCGCACAAGCGGUGGAUCAUGUUCUUUAAUUCGAUGCUAAACGAAGAACCUUACCAGGGCUUGACAUCCCGAGAAUUUCUCCGAAAGGAGAGAGUGCUUUUAGAACUCGGUGACAGAUGUUGCAUGGCCGUCGUCAGCUCGUGUCGUGAGAUGUUUGGUUAAGUCCAUCAACGAGCGCAACCCUUGUGAAUAGUUGUAUCUUUCUAUUCAGACUGCCCCGGCAACGGGGAGGAAGGAGGGGAUGAUGGUCAGGUCAGUAUUACUCUUACGUCCUGGGCUAGAAACGUGAUACAAUGGCAGGUACAAUGCGCAGCGAAGCCGCGAGGUGAAGCAAAUCGCAUCAAAGCCUGUCCCAGUUCGGAUUGGAGGCUGAAACUCGCCUCC